AUGUGCUGUGGUCAAAUGAAUAAAUACUUCAUUUUAAAAAAGAAUGCAAGUUCCAGUCCAGGACAGCACUUGCUUAUUCAUUUCCUGAAGGUGGAAAACUGCUCGUGCUCAGUUCAGACACUGGAGGAAACUGCCGGACUCACACUCUCGCUUCCCGGCACUUCCCAAUGGGCACCUGUGUGCAGAGAGGGGGUCAAGCUGCAGAUAAGCCCACGCAAAACAUUCACUCCCAGUUCACACCAUCUGCACUCAGGGGGGCUUUGGCCAGCCCACCAAGGUGGAGAUGCUGCUGAGUCAUCCAGUCCCCGUGCUGAAAUCUGGGAGACACUUGAGGCAUUCAUUGCCUGGGGGCACCUGGGGGCUUCCCCGGUGGCUCAGUUGGUAAAGAAUCUGCCUGCGAUUCAGGAGACUGGGAUUCCAUCCCUGGGUCAGGAAGAUGCCCUGGAGAAGGGAAUGACAACACACUCCAGUAUUCUUCCCUGGGAAAUCCCAUGGGCAGGGGAAUCUGGCAGGCUACAGUUCAUAGGGUCAAAAGAGUUGGACAUGACUUCGCGACUAAACCACACGGAGGUGCCUGGGGGCCCCAACACUUCUGAACAAAAGGACAGGACACCAAGAUGCCAGACUUUUCCUUAAUGGAAACUGCCUGUUUUCUAAAGAAGGCCCAGUCCACUGACUCUACUUAGACAUUUCUCUGGAAUAAACACUUCCAUAGGGCACACCAAGCUCUCCAUUAGGGCUAGUAGCUUUAUGAAAAAAACGUGAGUGGGGCUCUAAAUUAUUCUGACCUCUUCUCUUCCCUCCUUCCUUCUUUUUUUUGUAAAAAGGAGAACACAUUUCCAAGAGGUCUGAAUUUCUGAACAGAGACUACAGUGGGGUCAAAAUUUGCAAAUCUACCUGCAAACAAAGAGGGUUAGGGGUUCACAGAUUAGCAUUCCCAGACACCCCUUAAUGACUUUUCCCCAGGUGAUUACUGCUGCCCCAAACCUAAAGAAGCCCUCUUCUAGGUCCUCUCCUAAAAUAGCCAGGGGGAGUUUGAUGUCUGAUUCAGAGAACCCACAGCUGGUGCUCCAU
rnacentral:lncRNA from 1 species